GACCUGAGCUCAGACAAGGUUACCCGCUGAACUUAAGCAUAUCAAUAAGCGGAGGAAAAGAAACCAACCAGGAUUCCCCUAGUAACGGCGAGCGAACCGGGAAAAGCCCAACUUGAAAAUCUCCCUUUGGAGAAUUGUAGUCUACAGAAGUGCCCUCUGUGGCGGGUGGAGUUCAAGUCCGCUGGAAGGCGGCGUCAGAGAGGGUGAGAACCCCGUCGACUCCAACCUAGCCGCACCACGAG
rnacentral:rRNA from 1 species